CCGAUGGCGAUCGACUCGGUAGAGGGAGGUUCGGUCCGGCGGACAAGUUGGUAGCUCGAUUCGUCGAUCGCCGUCGCGUUUCUUGACCCCGAUAUUCUAGGGUUCUUGAGACGGAGCAGGAUACCAUUACUUUGCUGUCCAGCUGUGGGGGUUUCUACUUUCUCGUUUGAAGUAUGCACUUGUUGAGCUAAAGUUCUAUACUAUUCCUCGUAUAAUAUGAACAUGACAUCCAGUUACUUAUGAUCAAAAGGCCCGUUGGAUUUUUGACAUGUUGCCCAGUCAACCAGCCACAGUGAUACAGUGGUUUGUGUACUUGGGAAGUCUCCUGAGGUCUACUGGUACACAUCAAUAUUUUGGGCAUAUGCUUAACCAAGUGUUCUGACGAGAGACCCAAGCCACACUGCGCCGCUUUGUUUGCAUUGGGACAUUGGCAAGAUUUCAGAUCAACAAGGCUAGUUGGAUGUUGAUGAUGAUCAAAGUGAGGACAAAGGGUGAAAAACUGUAGAGGGGACCUCCAGGAGGUUGAGGAAAAUGGCAAAGCAAUGGGACCUUCGAACUUGGAUGCAGUGCUGCAAACUACUGGUCAAUGGUUUUUCAGGGAUUUUUUUAAAUUUUUUUAUUCACUUUAUCACUGUUUUUAGGAAUGUGACUGUAAACCAGCAA